AACUUCUGAAUGUUGACCUCGGAUCAGGUAGGAAUACCCGCUGAACUUAAGCAUAUCAAUAAGCGGAGGAAAAGAAACCAACAGGGAUUGCCCUAGUAACGGCGAGUGAAGCGGCAACAGCUCAAAUUUGAAAUCUGGCUCUCGGGCCCGAGUUGUAAUUUGUAGAGGAUGCUUUUGAUGCGGUGCCUUCCGAGUUCCCUGGAACGGGACGCCAUAGAGGGUGAGAGCCCCGUCUGGUUGGAUGCCAAAUCUCUGUAAAGCUCCUUCGACGAGUCGAGUAGUUUGGGAAUGCUGCUCUAAAUGGGAGGUAUAUGUCUUCUAAAGCUAAAUACCGGCCAGAGACCGAUAGCGCACAAGUAGAGUGAUCGAAAGAUGAAAAGCACUUUGAAAAGAGAGUUAAAAAGUACGUGAAAUUGUUGAAAGGGAAGCGUUUAUGACCAGACUUGGGCUUGGAUAAUCAUCUGGGGUUCUCCCCAGUGCACUUUUCCAGUCCAGGCCAGCAUCAGUUUUCGCCGGGGGAUAAAGGCUUCGGGAAUGUGGCUCUCUCCGGGGAGUGUUAUAGCCCGUUGCGUAAUACCCUGGCGGGGACUGAGGUUCGCGCAUCUGCAAGGAUGCUGGCGUAAUGGUCAUCAACGACCCGUCU
rnacentral:rRNA from 1 species